rnacentral:lncRNA from 1 species
AUAAAAGUUUUUUGGUAUCAACUUAUAAGAGAAAAUAAUGAAGAACAAAGUAUUGUUUCUUUUAAAAAAGAAUAAAAAAAGAAAAGGAUUAUUAUCCAAAAUCCCAUUUGUUAGCUCAAAUGUUGUGGAUCUACCAUUUUCUAUAUGAGUUUCUGGAUUUACCACUUUUGGUUCAAAAAAAAUAUAAUUUUAUCCUUCACAUAUCCACAAAAUUAUGUACAUCCAUCCCUCACAUCCACCACCGCAAGCAUCGGGAUAAAGCAACUCACGUUCCUUUUCUAAAGCAUGUGCAUUGUCACGUUCCCUUUCUUCAGCAGGAGCUAAUGUGUCACAUUCAAACCCUGCCUAUAAACACCACCGGAAAACAUCAACCAAUGGGAGCAGGUUACAAGAACACAACGGCUAUCUAGAAUUGAAUAGUAUGAACAAGGAGUUAAGAAAACACUUUUCUUUAUUAACUUUAGAACUAACUCAAACUAAAGUUUUCCUUAAUCUCUCUCAAUUCUCACAAGCUAUAUCACAACCCGAUAUAUUCUUAUAUAGUAAAGUCUCAAACCCUAAUCAUAGCUCGACUAGGAUUACAUUGAAUCUUAUAGAUAACUCCUAAAAGAUCUAAUCUUAUCACUUCAUUAAACCGUUGCCUUGCGGUUCAAUUGUCGGUUUGCUUUUCAACCUUAAACCAACAAUCUCCCCCUUAAGCUUGAGCUCAAGCUUCUUCAUGUCUUGAACACCAAUGAGAUCUCUCAUCUCCUUAAACUUGUUUCUCCCCAAAGCCUUUGUCAGUAUGUCCACCUUCUGUUCUUCACCCGGGACAUGCUCAACUUCAAUUUGCCCAUUUUCAACGCACUCUCGUAUAAAAUGGUACUUCCAGUGAAUGUGUUUACUUCUUCCGUGAAACAUUGUGUUCUUGGUAAGUGUAAUUGCUGACUUAUUAUCAGCUCGUAUGGUUACUUUUUUACACAUUGUACCAAUGAUCUCGGCAAACAAUUCUUGGAGCCAAAUCGCUUGCUUAGCUGCCUCCGUUGCCGCCAUGAACUCAGCUUCACAAGAGGAUAGUGCCACAACUUGUUGUUUUUGAGAGAACCAUGUGAUCGGAGAUUCAUUAAGGUAAACACAUGACCUGCGGUACUCUUUCCAUCGUCGAUAUCCACACUAUGACUGCUAUCACUGUAACCAAUUAGUCCCAACUCUGUUCCUUGCUUAAAGCAGAGACCGUGUUCAAGAGUUCCUCGAAUGUAUCUCAGAACUUGUCUCAAAGCCGUCCCGUGUGACUCUCUUGGCUCUUGUAAGUAUCUGCUUAAAAUUCCAACACUAAAUGAGAGGUCAGGCCGUGUAUGUAGUAGAUACCUAAAGCACCCGAUGUUUCUUCUGUAAUCUUGUUCAUUGACCUGCUUCUCUCCUUAUGCUUUAGAAAGCUCUAAACCUGCUAUCAUUGGUGUUUGAACUGCAUUACAUUCACUCAACCCAGCUUCUUCCAGAAUUUUUCUUGCAUAUCUUUCUUGUUUCAACACGAUUUCACCUUCUCCUUGGAAGACCUCAAUACCAAGAUAGUAGGUAAGCUUCCCCAAAUCACUCAUUUCAAACUUUCCCGACAUCUCCCUUUUGAAAGUAUUUAUCAAAUCUAAGCUGGAUCCCGUGACUAACAAGUCAUCAACAUAUACUGCUACAAUAAGAAGAGUCUCCUUUUCUUGUUUUCAGUAAAGCGACGGCUCUUUGGAACAUUUUUCAAAAUUUAAAUCCCUCAAUAUUCAGUUGAGUUUAGUGUUCCAAGCCCGAGGUGCUUGCCACAAUCCAUAAAGAGCUUUGUGUAGUUUAUAAACCUUUUCCUCUCUUCCUUUGGUUACAAAACCCUCUGGUUGAGUAACAUAAACAUCUUCUUUCAGUUCUCCGUGAAGAAACGCGGUUUUUACGUCUAAGUGGUGUAUUUCCAAUCCGUUUGAGGCUGCUAAAGCAAUGAUAAGACGGAUUGAUUCAAUUCGAGCUACAGGGGCAAAAACUUCAUCGAAAUCUACUCCAUGUUUUUGCACGUAUCCUUUUGCCACUAAUCUUGCCUUGUGUUUAUUUAUGCUCCCGUCUGAGUUUCGUUUUAGCUUAAAAACCCAUUUAAGAACAAUGGGUUUACUUCCAACACGGAGAUCAACAAGACUCCACCUUUUGUUCUUUGUUAUAGACAUGAUCUCCUCUUCACAUGCAUUUUUCCAUUCUUGUGAUUUAUUUGCCUCUUUGAAAUCCCAUGGUUCUUCAUUUAUCAUAAGUAGGAGCUGUUCUCCUUCUAUUUCGGCAAGUAACACAUAAUCACUUAAAUAGGUUGGCUUUGUAACCUGUCUCCCUGAUCUUCUUAACAACGGUGGAGGUUGUGGCUGCUCUGUUUCAACAUUAUCAGUCUCGGAUUCAUCAGUACCUUCUUCAUCUUCUCUAUCGGAUCCAUUCUCAACAUCUCUGUUUUCCUCUGUCUCUUGAUUAACUCCAUUAUUAUCAAUUCCAUGAUUACCAAACUCUCCAAAAUUGAGAGUAAAGGUUCCUGUUUCUUGACUGGAUUUCUCGGAGUCUUUCCACUUCCAACUCUGGGUUCAUCGAAGACGACAUCUCUGCUUACUGUGAUUUUACGAGUGGUUGGAUCAAGAAGUCUGUACGCCUUUGAACCGGGCUCUGUCCCAAGGUGUACCAACACUCUUGAUCUAUCAUCAAGUUUUCUUAAAUGCGGUCCAUCAACUUUUGCAUAGCUAACACAUCCAAAUACUCUCACAUGCUCUAAGUUUGGCUUCUUUUUCUUGAAUGCUUCAUAUGGAGUUUGGUAAGCUAAGGCUCUAGUUCCCACUCUGUUUAUUAAAUAGGUUGAAUGUCUGACAGCUUCUCCCCACAGAUAAUUAGGUAAGUUCAUAUGUUUCAAAAUGCUCCUAGUCAUCUCAAGCAAAGUCCUAUUUCUUCUUUCAACCACUCCAUUCUGUUGAGGGCUGUAUGGUGUGGUUAAGUGCCUAUUGAUGCCUUCCCUUUCACAAAACUCUUGAAAAUCAUGAGACAAAAAUUCUCCUCCUCUGUCUGUUCUAAGUGUUUUGAUUUUUGCACCACUCUCUUGCUCAACUUUCUUCUUGAAGUUCUUGAAUUUCUCAAAUGCCUCUCCUUUCUCCUUUAACAAAAUGGACCACAUGUAGCGAGAAUGAUCAUCUAUCAACACAAAAACAUAUAUUUUCUUAGCAGCCGUAGAGGGUGAUAUAGGACCACAAAGGUCACCAUGCACCAACUCAAGAAUAUGUGAUGCCCGAUACAAAGUUGCUUUUGGAAACGUUUUCCUUGUUUGUUUUCCAAGUAAGCAAGAUGAGCAUGUUUCUUUUUCUUUGGGAGCAGCCGAUAUUCCUUUAACCAUCUCUUUUGCAACCAUUGUUUUAAGUGUCUCAAGAUUAAUAUGUCCAAGUCAGGCGUGCCAUUUGUUUGAGUCGCUUGAUGUUAUAAGCUGCAAGCAGUUUUUUUCUUCAACCUCUAAGAUUACCUUGUACAAGCGGUUUCUUGAUCGUGUAGCUCUCACUAACAAAUUUCCAUCUCGGUCAUGUAGAGUGAGGUAAUCUUCUUUCAGUCUAACGUCACAUCCUGACUCAGUGGCUUGUCCUAGACUUAUGAUAUUACUUUUGAGAUCUGGUAUAUAGUACACAUCUUCUAGGAUCUUUCUUUCACCAGUUUUUGUCAAGAAGAGAAUUGAGCCCUUUCCCUUUAUGUCAAUGCACGAAUCGUCUCCAAACCUUACUCUUCCCGUGACCAUCUCAUUCAUCUUGUAGAACCAAGCUCGCUGUCCCAUCAUGUGAUUGCUCGCCCCAUUGUCGAGAUACCAAGUUUUCUCAGAACAUGUUUCAAACACUUUUGGCAUCACGUUGUUCUCAUUCAAGUACACUACCUCGUGCAUCAUAAGGGAUUCUGCAUCUUGAGUAUCAUCUUCCUCUUUCUCUUGUGUUUCUUGAAGCUUGAUCAACUUUAAAAGUCUAUCCGGACAAUUAGAGGUAUAGUUCCUUGUUUUGUCACAUCGGUAACAAGUCACUUUGGACUUGUCUCUUUGAACAUACUCUCUUUGUUGAUAUCCAAAUCUUCCUCGGCCUCUUCCAAAACGACCGCGGCCUCUUCCUCUACCUCCAUCUUGUGACUCCGAGCUAACAUACAUGAGUUUGCCUUGGUCUUCCUGUGAAUCUUCUUCUUCAUCAUAUACUCUGUCUUCGUAUGUUUUAAGUCUUCCUACAAUAUCUUCAAAGGUUGUUGUUUUGAGAUCAAGGACUUGCUCUAGGGCUGCGAUUAUAUGGAUGUAUUUCUUCCUAGGUAAGCUCUUGAGAAACUUCUUAACAACCUUUGUCUCUUCAAUAUUUUCUCCUAAGGAUGCUGCUUUUGUAGAAAUUUCAGAGAUUCUCCCCGCAAAGUCGUCGAUGGUGUCACUUUCCUUCAUCUUCAACCUAUCAAACUCAUUCAUAAGCGUCUGUAACCUUGCUUCUUUCACUUGGUCAGCACCAAGGUUUCUAGCUUUGAUGGCAUCCCAGACACCUUUUGCGGUUUCGUGUUCUCCAACUUGUAAAAUCAUGGACUUUGGUAUAGAUUGGAACAAUAGAGCACGGGCCAUAUCGUUUUUAUCUAUAUCAGUAGAACCAGGAUCGAUUGUCUCCCACGCCUUAUGCACUCGGAGAGCAGCCUUCAUCCUCAUAGUCCAAACAGUAUAGUUAGAACUAUUUAGCAUUGGACAUUUUAUGGAUGAUGACCCUCCUUCCUUCGGCUUGUUCCCCGUCGUAGCCAAUUCACUCAUGUCUCGUAUGAUCUUCGUUCUUGCUUAAAUUCGAGAAACAAAGCUAAAAUUCUCUGAUACCAAAUCUAGAAUUGAAUAGUAUGAACAAGGAGUUAAGAAAACACUUUUCUUUAUUAACUUUAGAACUAACUCAAACUAAAGUUUUCCUUAAUCUCUCUCAAUUCUCACAAGAUAUAUCACAACCCGAUAUAUGCUUAUAUAGUAAAGUCUCAAACCCUAAUCAUAGCUCGACUAGGAUUACAUUGAAUCUUAUAGAUAACUCCUAAAAGAUCUAAUCUUAUCACUUCAUUAAACCGUUGCCUUGCGGUUCAAGUAAUUGUCGGUUUGCUUCUCAAGCUUAAACCAACAGGCUAUAACACAACAACAAACACAUAAACACGGACAAGAAGAAGGAAUACUACUAAACCCUAAUAACCGUUACCCGAAAACUCAAACCAAAGAUGAUUAAACACACACCAACUAUAACACACCAACCAACAUAUAAACAUGGCCUAAAAGAGGGAAUACUAAACCCUAAUCACCGCUAUUGAGGGGAACCCAAACCAAGAAUUAUAAUAACACUGAGUAAUGUAAGCCGUGGAAACAAAACAUAACAUCACAAAAUAUAUAGAAACAAACUAAAAAAGAAGAAGUGAAAAAGAGGGUUAGUGAAUGUAGUUCCCUACUCUUCUCCUUGGAAUUUUCAUCGAACAUGUUGUGUGUGCUUAUAAAAGAAGUCAUCUAACUCGGUUAUUUCCGGAAAAAAUGGGGCCAUUAUGCAAGAAGUCUUCUAACGAUCAAUCAAUUUCUAGAAACGAAUGUAAAAUAAGAGCUGUAUUCAUCGACCAAGACAGAAAAGUAAGAUUCAACGACAAAUGCCCAUAAGAACAUGGUCGAAGUCAAGCUAAUGCAAGCAUUUCAUUUCAAAACGAAAUCAAGUUUUUUUGUCCAUAAUAACAGAAAACGAAGAAAAAUUCUGUGAAUUUAGAAAAAAAGGAGGUUAAACUAACAAAGUAGGAGAAGCAGAAGCUCAUGAGAAGUGUGAAUCACAUUGUCGAAGUCACUCACAAGACAUGAGACCAUCUCCAAUGUAAAUCUCUAUGUUUUACGCUAAAAUAGAAUAACUCUAAAAUAGAGAAUGUUUUCUCUCCAAUGUAUCACUACUCUAUAUCCUAUUUUAAAAUAGAGUU